UGAGGAAUAUUGGACAAUGGGCGCAAGCCUGAUCCAGCCAUGCCGCGUGCAGGAAGAAGCAUCUAUGGUGUGUAAACUGCUUUUGUACGGGAAGAAACACUCCUUCGUGAAGGAGCUUGACGGUACCGUAAGAAUAAGGAUCGGCUAACUCCGUGCCAGCAGCCGCGGUAAUACGGAGGAUCCAAGCGUUAUCCGGAAUCAUCGGGUUUAAAGGGUCCGUAGGCGGUUUAGUAAGUCAGUGGUGAAAGCCCAUCGCUCAACGAUGGAACGGCCAUUGAUACUGCUAGACUUGAAUUAUUAAGAAGUAACUAGAAAAUGUAGUGUAGCGGUGAAAUGCUUAAAUAUUACAUGGAAUACCAAUUGCGAAGGAAAGUUACUACUAAUGGAUUGACGCUGAUGGACGAAAGCGUGGGGAGCGAACA
rnacentral:rRNA from 1 species